UAAAGAUCUCGGUAAGAUCUAUAAGCUCGCCAAAUUUGGUCUUCGUAUCUCAAAAAUUGUGGCGGUUACGGACGUUUAAAAUUUCGCCCCAUUCAUUCCUAUGGGGAAAAAAUGCGUACGUUUACGAAGUUUUUACGAAAACCGUACGAUAAAUCGCUCCAAAAAGCACAAGCACGCUAAGUUGGCAUAGGUCCUACGAUCCGUGAAAGUUUCGUGAUUCUACGUUGAAAGCUCUAGGAGGAGUAGCGUACAGAAAAAAAGGCGUAAGAAUAAUAAUAAUAACUAGAAAAGGAAAGUUCGAUAACGAACUUUAAGUUGGCUUGGAAAAGUACGUUAAAUAGUUAAAUAACGUUGAAUAGUUAAAAUGGUUGCUAAGAUAUUUCUGUCUAAAGCGUGUGAAGAGUGGUUGCUAUGCUGUUGACUUUCGGCUAAAUGUUGAAGUCCAAAAAGUUUUGGCUAACAUGGUGAAAAGCUUAUAAUUAUCUUAUAAAGUAAAGUGUUGCUAAGUGGUUGCUAGGUAGUUGCUAGGCAGUUGCUAAUGUAGUCCACAUCGUUGCUUAGUGCUUGCUAAUUGGUUGCUAGGCAGUUGCGAACAUAUUCCAGGUGGUUGCUAAGCUGUUGCUAACUUGUUGCUAGGCAAUUCCUAACGUAUUCCAAAUGGUUUUUAAGUGGUUAUUAGGCAGUUUCUAAUAUUUUCCAGGUGGUUGCUAAGGUGUUGCUAUGGUAUCUGGGGUGGUUGCUAAGGUGUUGCUAGGUGGUUGCUAGAGGGUUGCUAGGUGGUUGCUAAGGUGUUGCUAUGGGAUCCGGGGUGGUUGCUAAGGUGUUGCUAUGGUAUCCGUGUUGGUUGCUAAGGUGUUGCUAGGUGGUUGCUAAGGUGUUGCUAUGGUAUGCAGGGUGGUUGCUAAGGUGUUGCUAGGUGGUUGCUAGGGUGUUGCUAGGCGGUUGCUAUGGUAUCCAGGGUGGUUGCUAAGGUGUUGCUAGGUGGUUGCUAAGGUGUUGCUAGGUGGUUGCUAUGGUGUUGCUAUGGUAUCCGGGGUGGUUGCUAAGGUGUUGCUAGGUGGUUGCUAAGGUGUUGCUAUGGUAUCCUGGGUGGUUGCUAAGGUGUUGCUAGGUGGUUGCUAGGCAGUUGCUAAGGUGUUGCUAUGGUAUCCUGGGUGGUUGCUAAGGUGUUUCUAGGUGGUUGCUAAGGUGUUGCUAGGUGGUUGCUAAGGUGUUGCUAGGUGGUUGCUAAGGUGUUGCUAUGGUAUCCGGGGUGGUUGCUAAGGUGUUGCUAGGUGGUUGCUAGGCGGUUGCUUAAGUGUUGCUAUGGUAUCCGGGGUGGAUGCUAUGGUGUGGUUGCUAAGGUGUUGCUAGGUGGUUGCUAAGGUGUUGCUAUGGUAUCCAGGGUGGUUGCUAAGGUGUUGCUAGGUGGUUGCUAAGGUGUUGCUAUGGUAUCCAGGGUGGUUGCUAAGGUGUUGCUAGGUGGUUGCUAGGUGGUUGCUAGGGUGUUGCUAGGUGGUUGCUAAGGUGUUGCUAGGUGGUUGCUAAGGUGUUGCUAUGGUAUCCAGGGUGGUUGCUAAGGUGUUGCUAGGUGGUUGGUAAGGUGUUGCUAGGUGGUUGCUAAGGUGUUGCUAUGGUAUCCGGGGUGGUUGCUAAGGUGUUGCUAGGUGGUUGCAAGGUGGUUGCUAAGGUGUUGCUAGGCGGUUGCUAAGGUGUUGCUAUGGUGUCUAGGGUGGUUGCUAAGGUGUUGCUAGGUGGUUGCUAAGAUGUUGCUAUGGUAUCUGGGGUGGUUGCUAAGGUGUUGCUAGGUGUAUCUAACUGGUCGCUAGGCAGUUGCUACCAUUUCUAAAGUGGUUGCUAAGCAGUUGCUAGGCAGUUGCUAACGUUUUCCAGGUGGUUGCUAAGGUGUAUCUAACUGGUUCCUAGGCAGUAGUAGAUAAAAAGAAAGAGUGUUAAAUGUAGAAGUACAGAAAAAGGGAGAGCCUGAAAUAGAGAAGUAGAGAGAAAAUCAGCGUGAGAAGUAGAGAAAGAACACCCGAGAAUGUGAGAAAAAGAGUGACAAGUAGAGAGAAAUAUUGAGCGAGAGAAAGAGAAUUAGGGAAAAAGAGAGAUCAAGAAAUAAAGAAGUAGAGAAAGAAAAAGGAUGUAGUAGAGAGAUAGAUAGAAAGAGAAAGCAAGACAGAAAAGUAGAGUGAAAGAGAAGUAGAGAGAAGAGCGAGAAAUAAAGAGAGAGUAAGAGAGAAAUAGAGAAAUAGAAAAGUAGAAAGAAAGAGACAUAGAAAAGUAGAGAGAGUGAGAAAGAGAGAGUGAGAAAUAGAGAAGUAGAGAGAGAGUGAGAAAGAGAGAGUGAGAAAUAGAGAAGUAGAGAGAGUGAGAAAUAGAGACGUAGAGAGAGAGUGAGAAAGAGAGUGAGAAAUAGAGAAGUAGAGAGAGAGUGAGAAAUAGAGACGUAGAGAGAGAGUGAAAAAGAGAGUGAGAAAUAUAGAAGUACAGAGAGUGAGAAAUAAAGAGAAAUAGAGACGUAGAGAGAGAGUGAAAAAGAGAGUGAGAAAUAUAGAAGUAGAGAGAGUGAGAAAUAUAGAAGUAGAGAGAGAGAGUGAGAAAUAGAGACGUAGAGAGAGAGUGAGAAAUAGAGACGUAGAGAGAGAGAGUGAGAAAGAGUGAGAAAUAGAGAAGUAGAGAGAGUGAGAAAUAGAGACGUAGAAA